UACGUAGGGGGCAAGCGUUGUCCGGAAUCAUUGGGCGUAAAGAGCGUGUAGGCGGUCCGGUAAGUCGGCUGUGAAAGUCCAGGGCUCAACCCUGGGAUGCCGGUCGAUACUGCCGGACUAGAGUUCGGAAGAGGCGAGUGGAAUUCCCGGUGUAGCGGUGAAAUGCGCAGAUAUCGGGAGGAACACCUAUGGCGAAGGCAGCUCGCUGGGACGUUACUGACGCUGAGACGCGAAAGCGUGGUGAGCAAACAGG
rnacentral:rRNA from 1 species